GACGAACGCUGGCGGCGUGCCUAACACAUGCAAGUCGAGCGAGUGAAUCUCCUUCGGGAGUGGAGCUAGCGGCGGACGGGUGAGUAACACGUGGGCAACCUGCCUCAUAGAGGGGAAUAGCCUUUCGAAAGGAAGAUUAAUACCGCAUAAGAUUGUAGCUUCGCAUGAAGUAGCAAUUAAAGGAGCAAUCCGCUAUGAGGUGGGCCCGCGGCGCAUUAGCUAGUUGGUGAGGUAACGGCUCACCAAGGCGACGAUGCGUAGCCGACCUGAGAGGGUGAUCGGCCACAUUGGGACUGAGACACGGCCCAGACUCCUACGGGAGGCAGCAGUGGGGAAUAUUGCACAAUGGGGGAAACCCUGGUGCAGCAACGCCGCGUGAGUGAUGACGGCCUUCGGGUUGUAAAGCUCUGUCUUCAGGGACGAUAAUGACGGUACCUGAGGAGGAAGCCACGGCUAACUACGUGCCAGCAGCCGCGGUAACAC
rnacentral:rRNA from 1 species